UAGCUCUCGUUGGAGAAGCAGGGCACGUGCAAGUUCGAAGAUAUAUGCAUUUGUCAUGCAUGAAUUUUGCACGUGUUCUCCUUCUCCAACAUGAGUUU
rnacentral:pre_miRNA from 1 species